AAAACAACACGGGAAAAUAUAACUAAGAACAGUAACAGUGAGAACAUCACACACGCAAAAUGAAACCUCAACAAAAGCUUUACAAAUUAUAGCUUUGUGGCUGGUUUCUACUUAAUGACAAAAUUUUGAAAAUGCACUAAAAUCCAAUAAAGUGACAAAACUCCAGAUACAUUAGUUCCCUCCAACUUAACCCAAAACAUUAUCAAGUCAAGCCCUUUCAAACAAAUUCCGGGGCAGAACAAUAAAUACGCAAAUCCAGCCUUACAAUAAAAUAAAUGCCGUGUAGGUACUUUCUUAGGAUCACAGGUUAAAACUUUGCCGUUGGCCAAAUUUAUUUCAUUACUAUAAUUAUUUUCCAAGUCCAAAUGCCAUUUUAAGAAAUAAACAGUGGGCUUUUAUUUAAGGAAACAUGGCACAUGUAAAAUAUAAAAGUUAGAGGUGCAUAUCACUAGUGGAGUCCCCAAUAGUCCCCACAUCUGGGGACACAGAGUCCCCAGAUGUCAGCCUGCGGAAAGCUAAAGAAAGACUUCAAGGGGCAAAGGUCAUAUACUCGCUUCAAACUGUAGAUACGAUGCAUUCACAAUUUCACAUGCAUCAUAGCAUAGAUUUUACAUAACACGGAUUAGAAACUGAUCACAUGAUCCCAUUCAAAUCAGGCCCCAUUUACACAGCAACGCAAAAUGCAUUUUUAGAAUGAUACACUUUGAACACCGUUUUUGUUUCCAAAGAGUUCUAUCAAGAUGCUUUCUUAUUUUCAUUAAUUUCUGUGUAAACAAAAGCAUAAAGCAGGCACAAAAAUCAACAGAUUGCAGUGUUUUUUUUUACUGGGUAAAUGCAGUCUCAAUGUAAGUAGGCACUGAGAGACUUUGUAUUUAUCUCUAUCUUAAUCUCCUUCAGCUACUUCAUUGAUAUGGCCAAGAGAACUGCCUGAUUACAUGUAGCUGGAAGCAAGCUCCAAGUCAACUAUACAGCUUAAACUGUUCUUACGGGAGGUUUACUACAGCACUUAAAAUUGUUAAAACUGUGGUGAGAUGCUUCAUUUCGAUGUAAAAUGAGAUACUGUUCUCAUAUCUAUUCAACCUACAUGUAUAACUUGCUCGGAGUAACUACAUGUAAAACUAAACACAUUAUAGUAUAAGAAUAAUUAUGCAUCAAACAAAGCUGCAUGAGGAUAGGACAGUUACAUUAUAUUAUCACACGCGCUAAGUAGCUAGCAGGUUGAAACUUGGUAUAGUUGCAAAACAGGCUCUUCCGAAAAUCUGUACCAAUUUUGGAGUCUCUAGGUACUCUGGAAGGUUCUCAAACGGUUCUUCUGGUCAAAAUGAAAGGGGGCUGCAUGAUGUUCCAUGAUGUGUAGCUUUGUGAAUAUCAUUUGCAUGUUAUUAAUUAUGUCAAUAAUCAUGUUUUUUAUUAUUAAAAAUCAAAUAAAGCAAAUGAAACACUCCAGGCCAAGACAAAAAUUGAACUAGAAGACUUUACACUCCAGACAAAAAUCUCUCUUAGUCUGCUGUGCCUCUCUAAGCCUUCUUUAUUUGUCCUCAGUAUUGCUGGUAAAAGCAAGCACAAAAAUUCUUCACGUCAAUUGCAGGGUUGGUAGUGACGAAAAGAGGAGAAAAAACAAGUUACAACAAAUAGAAAAGAGCAUAAUAAAGUUUUCAGCCAUUUUAUUUACGUGUGGGUGGGGAUACAUGUGACGUUUUAAUGAUUAAAACAUCCAGUUAAACUUAACUUAAACCGACUAUAAAAGCCAUGAAGUGCCAAAAUGUUGUCUUCAGAGGCCCAUCUAUUCAACAACUAUCUUUAGAUAGAAUAAGAAUGAAGAAAAAAGGACCAGACAACACAAAAGUUCGGAGUCUUUGACAUGAGGAUAGGCUAUAAACAAAGCCAUAGACCUAACAGUGAUAAAAUAAUAGCACUAUUACAUUUACACAUGUAAUUUGUGCCAUUACAAAGGUAAUUUCAAUGAUAAAUUGGGACCAAGAGAGGCAACAAUUUUUUGAGCAAAACUAUGCUUAACUGUCACUAAGAACAGUCCUGAACUCUCAAGACCUAUCUGCUCAUCAUCAAUAGUAAAUAAAACUCAAAUACAGUUGGAAGCUUGGAGAAGAGCUUGUGUAGUCCUUCCAUUGCUUUUCCACCAAUACAAAGUCUGUCCCUGUGACCCUGUGACGUCAUCAGUUUCCAAUCCAUGUUAUGUAGUUAUAAAAUCUGCAAUCAUAUCCACUCACAGGGUAAUUCAGAAGUCGAAAUGACAUGCAGUCAUCAAUCAUUUUUAAAGGAAAUCAAGCUCCUGACUGUUUUACCCUAUUAGUCGUAUGACCAAUAGUCAGUACUAUAAAAUUUAUAUUACAUUUUAAAAAAUUCACUUGUCUACAAGGAUCAAGCAAAUGGCAGUUAAAAAAGUAACUGACAAUAUAUUCUGGAUCACCACAAAAAGCUAAAAUAUCAUCUUUUAUUAGCUGGAAGUGUUCCACUUCUUAGACAACACUGAUCGUGGAGUAUUACCAAACAACACUGGUCCUGUAGCAGCUCCGUCUUUUGCCAUAGUAAAGUAGUCAAUUUAAGUUGAAUUAGAACAGGCACCACCCCUUUUAACUUUGUAGUAUUAGUGCUAGAAAACUGAAACUUCGUAUACCAUAGGGUACUUUUUCGAGGGCGGUAAAUUUCACAGAUUUUGCGAUUUUCAAGGAUUCACAAGAAAAUGAUUUUGCGAAAACCAAAUUAUCAAGGUACAAGAUGGCAAGCGGAAUAAAUUCGUGAAAAUUAAAUCUGGAAAAUGAACGUGUAGAUUUUUAUGUCAAUGUGCGAAAUUACAGUCCUCAAGAAAAAGGUACCCUGCAAGAGAUGCAAAACGUAUUCUUCCGAAAUCUAUACCAAUUUUUGGGCUUCUAGAUGUACUCUGCAAAGAUCUGAAUAAGUUCUUUCGCUCAGGUUCAGUGAAGUGAAAUAAUAAAUCAUUACAGAACACCCAUAAAUAUCAUUUCUAUCUCAUUAAUAUUGAAUGUUUUCACUUACUAAUAAAAGCAAAACAGAAAGGUCUAGAGAAGCUGGUACUUAACUACAUUGUAGCAGGCUUUACAACUGAAAACAUUCUGAUAUAUCAGUUUACAGCCUUUUUGAUUCAAGUUACUCUUUAUCACUUCCAACCUAAGUUUAUAUCUUCCGUAUCCGCAGUCAAGUCAAUAAUAAUUAAGGGCAGUAGCAUAUAAAGUAAUGAUAAAUCCAUAUUAAAAGUCUAGGAAGAAAAGAAAUUCUCAAUAAAGCAGCUUGCUUUAACUGUGUCACCAUUUUGAGUUGGCUAUCUGACGUUUUGAUGAUGUAUAAGUUGACUUACUUCCUGUGCCAACUCAAAUAAAAUUGACAUGUUAGGGUGAAGCUUUAAAUUAAUAACUAAUUAACUAAUAACUAAUUAAAUGUAAAGAAUUAGUGGUAAAAUCAAUAGUGAAAUGAUCACAUAUUAAUUUGAAUUAGCCAAAUAUUGAAUAUCAGUAUCAGUACUUCAAGUGAGUAACGACAAGAGUACAUAAUAUAAAGAGAGUAUCCAACAGCCCUAUAGCAGACUGCUGCACGAGGGCGUAUUUGCUCAAAGUCACAAUCCGCAUACUCCAGUAUACUUACCAUAUCACGUCAUCAACCAUGUGGCAACAUUAUCUGGCCCUUAGCUUUUAAAAACUUGGCAAUCUCUUUCAAUACAAGAAAGGAACUUGAAAGAAGGCUGGAAAGAUGAACUACAAAGGCAGUGCCACUAGUAUCCAGGAGAUUGUACCCCAAGCACUUGCCAACUCCUGACAAUGGCAACUCAAUGUCUAAGCAAUACAGUAUAACCUCGAUUAUCCGGACCCCUUUGUCCAUCAGG
rnacentral:lncRNA from 1 species